UACAGAGGUCCCAAGCGUUGUUCGGAUUCACUGGGCGUAAAGGGUGCGUAGGUGGUGAGGUAAGUCGGAUGUGAAAGCUCGGAGCUCAACUCCGAAAUGGCAUUGGAAACUACCUUGCUCGAGGGUUGGAGGGGGGGACUGGAAUACUUGGUGUAGCAGUGAAAUGCGUAGAUAUCAAGUGGAACACCAGUGGCGAAGGCGAGUCCCUGGACAACUCCUGACACUGAGGCACGAAAAGCUAGGGGAGCAAAACAGG
rnacentral:rRNA from 1 species